rnacentral:RNase_P_RNA from 1 species
AUGAGCAGAAGGACGGCUGCCGGUGCCUCAUGGCGCUGAGGAAAUCCAUCCAUCAUGUGGGACUCGAGCACUGUAAAGUGCAGGCUGAGAAGCCUGGCAAUGGAGCAGAAAUCCUGCGAAUUAAGGACUGCAAACGAUACACCCAUCUGAAGGAUGACAAUGAUACGGCCUUUGAACAUAAAAAUUAAAACAUUGGAAUAUGUUUAAAAGCAAACCGCUGAGGAUUCAGAUGGAAUUGUUGAAACGGCCACCCUCGAGGAUGCAAGUCCAAAUAGGCUACCCAUGAUUCCCACAAGAGGUAGCGGGUAGGACGCUAAGCUGAAUGCCGUCAAGAGAUUAAAUGGUAACAUUUAUCUUUUAACAGAAGAUGGAUUACUCUCUGCACAU